rnacentral:rRNA from 1 species
CUCUUGGCGAAAGCCAGGUAACCCCUGCCCUAUGAGACUAUUAAAUGGCCGCAGUAUCCUGACUGUGCAAAGGUAGCAUAAUCAUUUGCCUCUUAAAUGGGGGCUGGCAUGAAUGGGGCGACGAGAUACAUUCUUUUGAGGUUCAAAAUUAAUUUGACAUAGGUGUCAAAAGGCUUCUAUGUUUCUGGGGGACGAUAAGACCCUAUAAAACUUUACUCUAAGUAUACCUGGUAAGAGAAAGGGCAAUGUAAGAGUUUUACUGGGGCGGUUUAUAUAACACCUAUAUAAGAUAAAAUAUUUAAGAUAGAAGGUAAUAACUUGAUUUAAAAUUUAAGUAAGUUACUUUAGGGAUAACAGCAUAACCCCCUCGGAGAGUUCAAAUCGGCGGGGGGACUUAUGACCUCGAUGUUGAAUUGGGAAGGCUCUUUUGGGCAGCUCUAAAAGAAGCUAGUCUGUUCGACUAUUAAACUCCC